CUCAUUCAUUUUCCAACAUUAAAUCCCCUCCUCCGUUUUCUGGGUCUUUUUUUUUUUUUUUCUUAAUACCCAAGUUCUUAAUUUUGUUUCUAUUGCAAUGUAAAAGGGAGAGCUUUUCUUGAGUUGCAUAUGUAAUGGUUGACCUUAAGAAGAGUCUGGAAAUGGAGUUCAAAGAAGGGAGUUCAGUGGAGGUGAUGAGAGAACAGAUGGGUCCUUACGGUCCAUGGUAUCCUGGCAGGGUAAUUGGUGUAGAUGGCAAUGAUUACACGAUCAGGUACAAGUUUCUUAUGGACAGUCGAGGAAAAUUGGUUGUGGAAAGGGUGCAGGAGAAGAACAUGAGGCCUCAACCUCCACAACAUGAUCAGGAGAAGAAAAGAUGGGUGGCUGGUGAUAUAGCUGAGGUGUUUGAUACACAGUGUUGGAGGGUUGGAAAGGUAGCCAAAGUAUUGAGAAAGGGUCGUUUGGUUAUUAAGUUUUAUGGGUUCAUUCAACUCAAGGAAUUCAAUGUGUCUUGUUUAAGAACUCAUAAACUUUGGCAUGAGAAGAAGUGGUCACUGCUUGUCAAAGUUCAAAACCAUGGACAGGAAGCUAGCCAUUCUCCACAACAAACUAUUUCAAACCAGUGUUGGAGCUUGGUUUGCAGUGAUCCAGUUCAGGCAGUUUGUGAAUCAAAAACUUGCACAAAAAAUGAAUAUGUACCAAGAAGCCUUAAGAAGAGAACAAAUGCCUUUGAUCCUCUUCAUGAACCAGUCUCCAAGAAUCAAAUGUUGGGAAAAAACAUUAGGAAAAGAACAUCCAAACCAGUUGCAGGAGUAUUCAAUAGCCCUUUGGUAAAAAACCAUUCUUUGUAUACUUUUCACCAAAUAAGAUUAGAUAACACCACCAAACCGGAACAAGAAACAAACAACUGGUUACAUUGUUCUGUUCAGUCUACUGAAGAUAGUAACGAGUGCUCGGUUGCUAGUUGUAGUUUGAACGAGUCUGCUAACUCCACAAGAGGAAGCUCACUCAAGCUUAACGAAAAGAAUUUUCCUGAUUCGGACGCUGAGUCAUCUUCAUUGCCCUUGUUGUACAGUAAAAGGAACACAGUUCUUCCAUGUCUUGGAAGCAAACUAGGAGUUGACAUCCAUAACUUGGAGCUUGAAGCCUACAAGUCAACAGUUUUGGCACUAUAUGCUUCUGGCCCCUUAAGUUGGGAACAGGAGUCUAUGCUAACUAAUCUACGCCUCUCUCUACACAUUUCAAAUGAUGAACAUUUGCUUCAGCUGAGAAACCUUUUGGCUGCUCAAGUUGUUUGAUCAUCUUUAUCUCGGUCAACACAGACAUGUUUGGUAUCUGCUGAAAAAUUCAGAUCGAUUUGGAAGACACUAGUGUAAGUUCAAAUUGCAUAUUCCUCAUCAACUGAAUUAAGGAAUACAACUUAUGAGAAGUUUAGAGGAUACCCUGAUAGACUUCAAGAGUUUGUAGUAAUGUGGGUUCUGAACAUUACUCGUAAGAAGAUUUGGAGGUGCAGUGCAGGGAUGGUGCCAAGAAUGUAUCCAUCAAGAUUGAAGGCACGCAAUUGUAAGGACUAAAGAUCACCAAAAAGAGUAAUUUGUCUAAUCCAAAUGAAGAUUUGAUGGAAGUAAAUAGUUGUUUGGCAAAAUGACAGAUGGAGUGUCGAUGGCGAGAAUGGUCAGAGGAGCCGCUGGUUGGUAUUCUGCAUCUGCAGAGGAGCGAGAGACUGUUUGCUGUUUCUUGAAUUUCCAGGAGAUUAGAGACUUUCCAAGGAAAAUGCAGUAACCUGAGAUAGACCUUCGUGUGUCCAAGCAUGAUCCCCAAUCUGCAUCUGCAAAUGCUCGAAACUACAGUGGUGUGGGAGCAAUUUUGUAGAAGAACAAACCUUGUCCAGGGGUUCCUUUGAGAUAUUGGAUGACACGGUUGGCUGCUAUGAGGUGAGGGGACGAGGUGCUUGUAGGUACUGGCUUAAUUUAUUGACAGCAAACGAUAUGUCAGGCCAAGCGAUGGUGAGGUGGAGAAGCUUCCCAAUGAGGCUUUGAUAUUGAGUUGGGUUGUCAAGUAGAGGACCUGUCUCAUUGUCAAUAUUGAUAUUGGGUUCCAUGGGGGUGGAGACAGGUUUUGAGCCAAAAUGGACGUUGAGUGACAGAUAUACCACGAUUAUUUUGAGGCCUAAGAAGAAAUGAAGUGGUUCAAGAUUUUUAAGUUUGAAUUGGGAGUCAAGGUUGUUGAUGAAGUGAUUUAGAGCUGCAGUGUCAUUUGUUGCAACUAUUAUGUCAUCAACGUAUGUUAAUAUUGCUAAGAAGACAUUAUAAUUUUGUCUGAUAAAAAGAGAAUGGUCAUUCUUGGACUGGA